GCCGGGCAUGGUGGUACAUGCCUGUAGUCCCAGCUAUUCAGGAGGCUGAGAUAGGAGGAUCGCUUGAGCCCAGGAGGUUGAGGCUGCAGUGAGUCAUAAUUGUGCCACUGCACUCCAUCCUGGGCAACAGAGUGAGACCCUAUCUCAA
rnacentral:SRP_RNA from 1 species